rnacentral:tRNA from 1 species
GAAGGUGUAGCCCAAUGGUAGAGCAUGUGCUUAGCAUGCACAAGGUCCUGGGUUCAAUCCCCAGAACCUCCA